AUCCAGCUGACGAAUCUCAAACAGGACGAAAAGCUCUUCCUGAAU
rnacentral:hammerhead_ribozyme from 1 species